rnacentral:tRNA from 1 species
UUAAUUGAAACCAAAAUAGAGGUUUAUUACUGUUAAUAAUAAUAUUGAAAAUUUAAAUUUCCAAUUAAA